UGCAGGAGAAGCACAUUUCCAUGGAGACUGAGCAUGGAGAGCCAUUUUAAACUCUCCCUCCCCACCCUGGAGGUUUCAGCUGGAUCUGCCACCCUUCGCUUUCAGAGUUGUCUAAAGUCAAGGUUGCCAAAGGAAAGAUGCCAACAGACUACAUGCCGUGCUGUGAACACAUCUUACUGCGGGAGGCAGGAAAGGAACUUGGAAACCAAGACUACUUUUUAUUAUUGGUGUGGUUGGCCAUCCUGGAUCUGGUUGGUCAACCUGAGCCUGGCACCUUAGAGGAAGAAGUGAAAAUUACUGCUAAGAAGCUGCCUUUGGCUGUGAACAAUGAUGGAGCAAUUGGAAUUUCAGUACUGUGGAGAGAUUGGACUUGUGUAGCUUCAGAGACAGGAUCCCUCUACAUAUUGCUGGCUGUGCUGGAACUCACUAUGCAGGAUGGUCUCAUAAGAAUAUACCUACGUCUGUCUCCUAAGUGCUGACAUUAAAAGUGUCAUCAC